rnacentral:rRNA from 1 species
GACGAACGCUGGCGGCGUGCUUAACACAUGCAAGUCGAACGAUGAAGCCGCUUCGGUGGUGGAUUAGUGGCGAACGGGUGAGUAACACGUGGGCAAUCUGCCCUGUACUUCGGGAUAAGCCUUGGAAACGGGGUCUAAUACCGGAUGGGACUGCCGGCCGCAUGGUCUGGUGGUGGAAAGCUCCGGCGGUACAGGAUGAGCUCGCGGCCUAUCAGCUUGUUGGUGGGGUGAUGGCCUACCAAGGCGACGACGGGUAGCCGGCCUGAGAGGGCGACCGGCCACACUGGGACUGAGACACGGCCCAGACUCCUACGGGAGGCAGCAGUGGGGAAUAUUGCACAAUGGGCGCAAGCCUGAUGCAGCGACGCCGCGUGAGGGAUGACGGCCUUCGGGUUGUAAACCUCUUUCAGCAGGGAAGAAGCCUUAAAAGAGUGACGGUACCUGCAGAAGAAGCACCGGCUAACUACGUGCCAGCAGCCGCCGUAA